GACGAACGCUGGCGGCGUGCUUAACACAUGCAAGUGGAGCGACGAACCAGGCUUCGGCCUGGGGCAAAGCCGCGAACGGGUGAGUAACACGUGGGUAACCUGCCCUGAUGACCGGGACAACCCGAGGAAACUCGGGCUAAUACCGGAUGUGCUCCCACCACACCAGUGGUGUGAGUAAAGGUAGCUUCGGCCUCCGCAUCGGGA
rnacentral:rRNA from 1 species